rnacentral:rRNA from 1 species
CUGUCCAGCAAUGCCGCGUGCAGUGAAGAAGGCCUUCGGGUUGUAAANUGCUUUUGUACGGAACGAAAAGGUCUGCUCUAAUACGGNGGGCCCAUGACGGUACCGUAAGAAUAAGCACCGGCUAACUACGUGCCAGCAGCCGCGGUAAUACGUAGGGUGCGAGCGUUAAUCGGAAUUACUGGGCGUAAAGCGUGCGCAGGCGGUGAUGUAANACAGUUGUGAAAUCCCCGGGCUCAACCUGGGAANUGCAUCUGNGACUGCANCUCUAGAGUGCGGUAGAGGGGGAUGGAAUUCCGCGUGUAGCAGUGAAAUGCGUAGAUAUGCGGAGGAACACCGAUGGCGAAGGCNAUCCCCUGGACCUGUACUGACGCUCANGCANGAAUGCGUGGGGAGCAAACAGGAUUAGAUACCCUGGUAAUCCACGCCCUAAACGAUGUCAACUGGUUGUUGGGUGCNUUAGUACUCANUANCGAAGCUAACGCNUGANNUUGACCNC